rnacentral:rRNA from 1 species
UAGGGAAUCUUCCACAAUGGGCGCAAGCCUGAUGGAGCAACACCGCGUGGGUGAAGAAGGGUUUCGGCUCGUAAAGCUCUGUUGUUAAAGAAGAACACGUAUGAGAGUAACUGUUCAUACGUUGACGGUAUUUAACCAGAAAGUCACGGCUAACUACGUGUCAG